rnacentral:rRNA from 1 species
UACAGAGGUCUCAAGCGUUGUUCGGAUUCAUUGGGCGUAAAGGGCGCGUAGGCGGUGGGGUAAGUCUGGUGUGAAAUCUCGGAGCUCAACUUCGAAAUUGCACUGGAUACUGCUCUGCUUGAGGACUGGAGAGGAGACUGGAAUUCAUGGUGUAGCAGUGAAAUGCGUAGAGAUCAUGAGGAAGACCAGUGGCGAAGGCGGGUCUCUGGACAGUUCCUGACACUGAGACACGAAGGCCAGGGGAGCAAACGGG